rnacentral:lncRNA from 1 species
AACCCUAGCACAGUAGCGCUCAAAUCACAAAUUCACUGCAGACAGCAAAGCAAAAUUGUAUGCAGGCAUAAGGAUGGCUUCUCGGGGAGGUUCAUGAUGCAACCGGACCAACGGAGCGGCUUCGCGUUGCACAUCCCGCGGAUCCCAUGCCUUUCCACAUCUUGCCCCGCAUCGAUGUUAAUCUGAUUAAACAACAAAUUCCAUUGAAAACACCUUCGAUUGUUGGGGGAAUAAAUGGAAACAAGCAGCUGGGUGACGAACACAAACAGGAAAGGGGGGUGUGGGCGGCAACGAACUGCACGAAUACAGCAGCAAAGAAGAAUGAAUCAUCAAAUCGCACAAACAAUCAAGUAGAUCAAGCGCAAAGAACAAAAAAAAAUCUGGAGACAAACAUCAGAUCAGAGUGGGAAAUCAGUGGAGAAAGGUGAUGCAGCUACCAGCGAACACGCCCGUGCAGCUUCAGGGGAGAGGCGGCGGCAAGUGACAGAACAAUGAGACGGAGAAUUAGGGAUAAGUACGGUCUUGGAGCGCGAAAUCAGACCCGUUAAACACAG